rnacentral:lncRNA from 1 species
UUCAUCUCCAUUUUCCUUCAUCUUUAAUCUCCUCAUUCUUCUCCUUCACGUUGCUUACAGAACCUCUUCCUGAUGUUCAUCUUCUCCUUCUAAUUCAACUCCUGUAAUCCAUCUGGUGGUUCACUCUAUCAACAAACCCUAAUGAAUCCACCCAUAAAUAACAUGCCAAUCAAUCCGUUCUUUUAAUUUCUUCACUCCUUUUUCAAACCCUAAAAACUCUGGUGGCACAUACCUGCACUGUGAUUCUUUCGAACCCUAACGGAGGCAAGAAACAGAUCCAACAAUGGAGAAGUACAUUGUACGAUAGCAUUUCCGUGGCACUUCAACCGCCUCUUCCUCUCACUGUCAUGGUCGUCAUCUCUCCUAUAGACGCCAUUGAAUCGAGGAUAAAUCACUGACAUCAGAAGAAACGGAAUUUGAUUUAAUCGUCUGUGGCUGAGGCCUGAGGAUUUGUUACGGCGGAGGUUGCGUGUUGUGGGCAUGAACAAUACAAUGAAAUUGGAGUAUCCAAAUCGGUUUGAAUUUGUGUCCAAGCAGAGAUAUAUACGCGUUCUGGGAUCCUUUUUGGGAGGCUCAUAGUGGUAAAAAUUCUUCAUCCACUAAAUGCAGAAGUAUUCCAACAUCAAGUGACCUUGUGCCCUCAAAUGAUUAUGUAAAAGUACCUACUUAUGGAACUGAGGUAUUGGAAAUUGAUGCCAAGCUGCUGAAAUUCUUAUAGAGAGAUGUUGAAUAAACGAUACUGGUAACAUCGUUUUAAUAUGAUAAAUAUUUAGAGAUUAUGAUUAUUUGUAUAUAUACGUGAGUUAUAUUUGUAAUCUCACUUCAUUAUUACUUUAUUUAAUAUGAAACUUUUUUUUAAUCUAUACAGUAAUGACCGGAAACACUUAAUGUCAAAAUAAUGGAUGUUGGCUUUACGUUUACAUUUCGGAUGGGUCACUUUGUUUGUCCGAAAUGUUUAAGAAAGAUGAUUUCAGGAUUAUGAUUAUAAUCAUUUUAACUAUAAUAAGAAAGUUUAUGUCAAACUAUUAUUUCUCUGCACCACCGUCCUCACUUACUUGACUCUUAGGAAGACAACCUCUAGAGGAUCCGAGGUAACAGUUGCAAUGAAUGGCGUAUUUUCCUUUUUUAUUUUGAUCACUUUGUUUUAAAUAGAUGUGCUUUUUAAGUGGGAGUUAAUGUUUUUAUUUCUAUAGACAUUGUUGUCGAAUUAGAUAUCCCAUCAGUGAAGAAAAGUUCAAGUGAACCUAUAUUCAAGCGACCACGCGCGUCUCCAAACACCAUCGCCAUUACCGAAAUUUAAGAAGGGACUCGAUUUACUAAGAGAAAUGUUUUGGCAACUCGAAGGAUAUGCAUUUUAAAGGGAUUCGACUGUCUUUAAAUUGUAUUUCCACUUUGUCACUAAUUCAUGCAACAUACCACUUUGUUUGUAUUUUUUUUAUUUGCAUACUUAAUAUUUAUCUAAUUAAUUUUUCCCAGCCCGGGAAGCAAUCCCGGGUGAUA